rnacentral:rRNA from 1 species
UACAGAGGCCUCGAGCGUUAGGCGGAAUCACUGGGCUUAAAGCGUGUGUAGGCGGAUCGGUAAGUACCUUGUGAAAUCCCACGGCUUAACUGUGGAACUGCUGGGUAUACUGCCAGUCUUGAGCCACUCAGGGGCUACCGGAACAAAUGGUGGAGCGGUGAAAUGCGUAGAUAUCAGGAGGAACACCAGUGGCGAAGGCGGUGCUCUGGGCCGGAACUGACGCUGAGGAGCGAAAGCGUGGGGAGCAAACAGG